AUUGAACGCUGGCGGCAGGCCUAACACAUGCAAGUCGAGCGGAUGACGGGAGCUUGCUCCUUGAUUCAGCGGCGGACGGGUGCGUAAUGCCUAGGAAUCUGCCUGGUAGUGGGGGGCAACGUUUCGAAAGGAGCGCUAAUACCGCAUACGCCCGACGGCAUCAAGCAGGGGACCUUCGGGCCUUGCGCUAUCAGAUGAGCCUAGGUCGGAUUAGCUAGUUGGUGGGGUAAUGGCUCACCAAAGCGACGAUCCGUAACUGGUCUGAGAGGAUGAUCAGUCACACUGGAACUGAGACACGGUCCAGACUCCUACGGGAGGCAGCAGAGGGGAAUAUUGGACAAUGGGCGAAAGCCUGAUCCAGCCAUGCCGCGUGUGGGAAGAAGGUCUUCGGAUUGUAAAGCACUUUAAGUUGGGAGGAAGGGCAGUAAGUUAAUACUUUGCUGUUUUGACGUUACCGACAGAAUAAGCACCGGCUAACUCUGUGCCAGCCGCCGCCGUAACAC
rnacentral:rRNA from 1 species